rnacentral:snoRNA from 24 species
CACCAAAACUCUUUGUCAGGAUGUUUUUGCUUGUUUUUUCGAAAGGAAAGACCAUUCACAAAAUCGUCUGUUAAAGUUUUGGAAGAUUGAUACUGUUCGCCUUAUCCAUUCCAUCUUCGUUUUGAAGAUACUUUUUUGGAUAAUUUUAGAAAUUCCUUUCGUUUUGAAAGUUUUAUUUUUAAUCUUAAUUUUAGAGCAGGGAGGAUCAUUAGAGUUGAGCAUUAUUUUGUUGAAGUUUCAUCAAGAAGCUUCAAUCAUUUCGUAUAAUUUGCUCGUAGUAUUGAACCUCACAUUU